CUGAGCCCUGCAGGAAGUGGAUUUGGAUGAUGCUUUCGGAUCACCUGAAUGCAAUAGCAAUAAAUUCAAUGCAGCUGAUGCAUCUUCAAAGAUUCACUACAGUCCAAGACUUUCAAGCAUGAAGAUAUCUUCAUCUUCCCCUCUCAGAAUUGGCGGGGAAGCCAAAUAGGACCGAGUGAAAUAACCUGCAAAUAGAACACCUUAAGAAAAGCACACCUAUAAAAAUAAGGGACUGGUACAGUGUCUGGCACACAGAAUGGCU